UUUUAAUGGGAGAUAACUCUACUUGUCUUAUUUGAUAAAUUAUUUUUACUGUAAAAUUGUUCCCCUUUGUCAACUUCCUCUUUGAAAACAAGGUUGUUGUGAUAAUGUUAUUGUGUAACAGGUGAAAAAGCUAGGCCAUGUCUACAACUGCAAAAGUAACAUUAGCAACAUCUAUAGUUGCAACUGUAGGAAUAAUCUCCUUUGUGCAUUAUAAACAGAAAAAUGACCAAAUGGUAAUGAGAGAAGGAGUAUUGAGAGACAUGGAAAGGCAAGACAAAAAAGCCCAGAACUUAAUGGAAUUAAAUAGACAGAAAGCAAUGACAAAAGCUUUACUUCAACAGAGGGAACAAGAGGAACAAAAUCUGAAGCAUGAAAGUAGUUGAAGACACUGUGUAUGUAUAACACAUGAUGAGAUUAUUACCUCUUACUAUGGAUAAUCAUGUUACCUCAGCAACAAAUUCUAGUAGAUGAAAGUGUCUUUCCUGUAGAAAUCAUCACCAAGAUAACAUUUUUUAUGUAUUUUAUUGUUAAUAAAAGAAUUGUUGAUUGCUCAUUA